rnacentral:rRNA from 1 species
GGAAGGAGAAGUCGUAACAAGGUUACCGUAGGUGAACCCGCGGUAGGAUCAUUG